rnacentral:misc_RNA from 1 species
UUAACUAUUAUAUAGUACUCAGACAAUAUUAACAAACAGAGUUUUAGGUCCUCUGGCAGACACUGACCAGCCGGAGCCGGUGGGCCGAAGCCGGGUCUGCCAAAGCAACAAAGGUAUAAUAAACAAUGGGUGGGAGGUAUACCCCGAAGGGCAACGUCUCUUUAAUGAUCCUUCCGCAGGUUCACCUACGGAAA